rnacentral:lncRNA from 1 species
GCAAUGAUUACUUAGGGACCAUAAGAUAAACCAAUGUAUAGUACACUGACCUUGGGGGUAAAUCUCAAGACAGUGCUAAGGCUAGGGAAGAAGAAACAAACAUACUUUAAAAGAAAAGAUAAAAGCAGUGCAUGCACUGUAAUUCAGGGCAGAUUGUCUUCAAAUACAGUAAGAUUCCAAACUCCAUUACAUGCAAAAAGACUACUGAAUCAAACAUAAUUGCAAAUUAUAAAAUGAUAUGCUAAAGGCUGACCAUCUAAUGAUCUAUUAAUGUUCUUAGUUUUUGUGGUUAUUUAGAUAAAGACAAUCUUCUAAAAUAACUGAUAAACAAUAGUUCUUGAAACUGUGAUUCCUUCUAUUCUAGAGAUAGAAAAAGUGAUAGGAGGAUGUGAUAGGCAGCUGACUGGUAGAGAAAGGAGAUGAUGUAUUUCUGGGUUCUUGUGGUAAGGGAACAUGAAGGAGAGGCAUAAUGGGUUUGUAUGUGUACUGGUUAAGACACAGUUCUGUUGGUUGCCACAGGAUACCAAAAAAAUUUCUACACUUUCUAUUUUACAUUGUUGUUUCACUGUGGUAUAAUCAGGGAGUUAUGGGUCUAUAAUUUUCUGGAUGCUGAAAUCAUGAAAUUGGAAUGGCUAAUGAGGUAUUUGACUAAUGGCAUUGAGUGGAACUCCAGGAAAGCAACAUUCCAGAAGAGGGCAAUCCAAUGCAAGUCACCUAUGUUAAAUUUUGAGGUAUGCAAUGUGGAGAAGCCCAACAACAUAGAAAAUAUGUACAUUACUUGAAAAAAGGCUAUCAUGGGGACACACUAUGAUGUGGUUUGAAAUCUCUUAUCCUGAUUUAAUUUAUAUUCAGCAAAAUAAAAGCAUCAUAGAGGAGACUACUGAUAAACAAUGUGUUUUCAUAAUCAGAGAGAAAUCAAUAGUAUUCAGUAGGAUUUGGUUAACAAGAAAUACAAUUGCAGGCCGGGGAUUUAGCUCAGUGGUUUCGCCACCUACUGCGCAAGUGCAAGGACCCAAGUUCGAUCCCCGGCACCAAAAAAAAAAAAAAGAAAUAAAAUUGGAGUCUGGCAUGCUGUUUAUUUUAGCUUUUACAACAAAGCAAAGGUUUGAUGCGACUGAGAAUUGUACAACCAUUGACUACACAGUUUUCGAUUCCAAAAACAGUUUAUAAUAAUUUGGUGACACAUAUAACAUGCACCCAAAUAUUAUAUUUCUCAGUAACUAAGACACUGAACUAUUCUGUUCAUAGUGUACAGUCAUAUAUUUAUCCCUUUACAUUUGAAAUAUUAAGAUGCAAAGAUCUUGGACAAAAGUCAAGAAAAAAACUCUCCAUGGCCUUACUUUACCAAUGUAUAGUCCAUAAUUUUUUGAUGAGCUGUACAUUUAAAGAAGUGAUUCUCAUUUGAUUAAUUACAAAAAAAGCAAAUCAGAAAUUGUUAAUAUAUCACUAACAGUCGGUUAUUGGGUUAGAUUCUAGGGUUCAUACAUUUACUAUGAGAGGGACUAUCUGCUCUAAAGCACAACUCAUUGUAUCUAAGAUGUGGAAAAUUUUAUUUCUUGUUACCAGUGAAUAGAAAGUAGGUAUUUAUUAUUAAGGCUUCACGAAUCUUCCUUUGAAAUCAAGAGUCUAUUAAAAACAUGAAUGAGAUAAAGAGACUUCAUGAGGUUGGCUUGAGGAAGUAUUUCUGAGGCUCUAAAGUUCCUAAGGACUUUCCCUUUACAACUGUGAUGUUCAUUUCUUCAAACCUUUUUUAAGAUUUUAUUCAAUCUAUGUCCAAUCUCAAGAGAUGGCUUUUCAUACUUAUGCUAUGCAUUUUAAGUAUAAUUCAAACCUACCCUUUAUUUAAAAAAUAAGGAAAAUACCAAAAUAUUUAUUUAUAAAAAGAAUUUCAUACUUCUGAAUAAAUCACCACUUGACAACACUGAGCAGUGUCUAAUUUGAUCAUUUACCCAUCACUCAAGAAGUCUGAACUAAUCAUGAUAGAAGUUGAAAAUGUGAACUAGAAACAUUAAGCUUUAUUCCAUGUGGAGACUAUGGGGAACCUCGCCACCACUACAGAGAAUAAUCUGUAUUUUCUUUUAUAAAGUAAUGAGAAUUAUAAUCAGAUACAUGAUUCAAUAAAAGAAACUGAU